AUUCACUGGACCCAAAUUGCUGGAAACAGAAUCAAGCUCCAAGAUUCUUGUCAGCAUAAUGGAUCCAUCUCUUUGGAUCCUGGCCUGGUGGCAACAAACUGCAGGCAGUUUCAUUUGGUGCUCACAGAUGUUCUGAAGACGGAACAAGGACAGGCCUACCUAGACAGGAAGAGGCGUAGCCAGAUGGCAGGAAAUGGAGAAAGGAGGAGAGAAUCCCGUCUGGGGACUGGACAAAGGAGGAUUCCUCAGAGCAGCAAAGAGGCCAAGGAGGAUGGUUCUACACCCGUCUCCACCCGCAGGGAGAGGAGGUCCCAUCACACGAAGAGGUCUGAGGAUGAAGCAGAGAAGGAACUGAUAAUAGGAGAGGAGACCAGUGACCACCUGAGAUCCAGUGAAGAUGUUGUUAUUUCCCAGAGACGUAGGUCCGAGCUGACCUUCACUAAGGCCGACUGGCACCAGGAGAAGCCUUACCCACUAUUCACACGGACCAGGAAGUCCAAUUCAGAUUCAUGUGAAUCCACACACGCUGAGAGGGAGGAUCGGGGGCAGGAGCUGGGGUUCUUCUGUAAUGGAUGGAUGAAGGAUGGAUUAUCGGAGGGCCUGACCACAGCCACUACCAGGAACCCCAGAGGGAGUGUGCUGCGCCUGUCCAGGGAGUCCCCAGAUGACGGAGGACAGUUCUCAAAACGCCUCCGUCAGGAGGGGGCGGGGCACAGAGACAGUGUAGCGUCCGUGGAGGUGGAGCCGGUUGACGUUGAUGAGACAUUGAUGGUAGUCUCUGUUGGGGAGGACGAGGACAUUGGUGGGAGGGAGAGGGGAGGAACCAUCCAGUUGAACCUCUGCUCCUCCGGCCGGGAAACAAGCAAACUCAGCCCUGCUGAACCCAUUGUUCUCUCCAGUGAUGAGGAGGAGGUCGUGAACCCGAUCCGCAGUUCAGUCCUACGGCCACAGAGUGGCGCUAGUGAGUGUGAUCCCCAGAGAAGCCAUGCCCAGGAAGAAAACAUGGAGGCAGAGAGGGACUCUCAGGUGGUACCAGUGAUGGUGACAGGGUUUGGAGUGGCCCAGUUCUCCAGCUCAGAGGACUCCCAGAUGGGCUUGUCUUUCUCCAACCUGCACUGUGGAGGCAUCUGGAGAGAGUCUGGUGGGAACCUCAGUAUCACAAACCAAAGAAUCAUCCUACCAGUUAAAGAGCCCAGGAGCCAGGUGGAGGUGCUGGUGACAGUUGAGCGUUGUCAGCUGUGGAGGUACAGCAUCUGGGACAAGGAGGAUCUCCAGGAGAGAGGACUGGGGUGGGAGUCGGAGGUUGGGGGGGCUCCUUGUGCCUUCCUCCUGCUGUACGUCUCUGAUGUCCAGGCGGUGGCUGUUCAGGAAGACCUGCAUGAGCCGUCAAUCAAACAGGCCUUAGACCCUCCCACUGGGCAGGCCAGCCCCUUCCUCCUGUUGACUCUGAGUGCCCCCCUGGAGGGGGUGGAGGGAGCCCUCCUCCGAUCCGUUCUCGACAUCAUCUGUCUCAACAACACCCCGCAUGUCAACGCCGCACGUCUCCGUGGCAACGCUCCCAUCAACGGGGCAGUGGACCUCCACAACCCCCUCCUGUCACUGGAUGACAGUCUGGUGCUGAUCAGAAGAACCGGACUGGACCCUCAGCUACUCUCCCUCCUGGGCCAGAACUGGGCUGGGACUGACCAGGACCAAGAACCUGGAGUAGAGGACCAAGACAAUACUGGGCCAGAGUUAGAAACUGUAGACAGGAUGGGGGAGUCACUAAUAUCUACAGAGACUGACCCACAGACCGACCCACAGACCGAGGAGGGGCACAUGGCGGCAGAGAUUCUACCCCUCCCUGAGGACAGUCCAUCCCAUCCCAGAGCUGUGUACACUGUGUGUCAUCGCAGAACCAAAGACUCCUACUUCGUGUCCCUGGGCCCCAGGCCGGGCUCAACCUGGACCCGCUACACACACCAGGGCCCCCCCCGCAGGCAAGCCACCCAGCUCAUGAUCUGUUGA
ensembl:lncRNA